GACGAACGCUGGCGGCGUGCUUAACACAUGCAAGUCGAACGGAAAGGCCCUGCUUUCGUGGGAUGCUCGAGUGGCGAACGGGUGUGUAACACGUGAGUAACCUGCCCUUGACUUUGGGAUAACUUCAGGAAACUGGGGCUAAUACCGGAUAGGAGCUCCUGCUGCAUGGUGGGGGUUGGAAAGUUUCGGCGGUGGGGGAUGGACUCGCGGCUUAUCAGCUUGUUGGUGGGGUAAUGGCUUACCAAGGCGUUGACGGGUGGCCGGCCUGAGAGGGUGACCGGCGACAUUGGGACUGAGAGGCGGCCCAGACUCCUACGUGAGGAAGCAGUGGGGAAUAUUGAACAAUGGGCGGAAGCCUGAUGCAGCGACGCCGCGUGGGGGAUGACGGCCUUCGGGUUGUAAACUCCUUUCGCUGGGGACGAAGCGUGUGUGACGGUACCUAGAUAAGAAGCACCGGCGAACUACGUG
rnacentral:rRNA from 1 species